rnacentral:rRNA from 1 species
GAAUCUUGCGCAAUGGGCGAAAGCCUGACCCAGCAACGCCGCGUGGGCGAUGAAGGCCUUAGGGUCGUAAAGCCCUUUUGCGGGGGACGAUGAUGACGGUACCCCGCGACUAAGCCACGGCUAACUACGUGCCAGCAGCCGCGGUAAUACGUAGGUGGCAAGCGUUGUCCGGAUUUACUGGGCGUAAAGGGCGCGCAGGCGGUUUGUUUAGGCUAGGGUGAAAGCUCCCGGCUCAACUGGGAGAGGUCCUUGGAUACUGACAGACUCGAGGGAGGCAGAGGAAAGUGGAAUUCCCGGUGUAGUGGUGAUAUGCGUAGAUAUCGGGAGGAACACCAGUGGCGAAGGCGGCUUUCUGGGCCUUACCUGACGCUGAGGCGCGAAAGCGUGGGGAGCGAACCGG